UACGAAGGGUGCAAGCGUUACUCGGAAUUACUGGGCGUAAAGGGUGCGUAGGUGGUUCUUUAAGUCUGCUGUGAAAUCCCCGGGCUCAACCUGGGAAUGGCAGUGGAUACUGGAGAGCUAGAGUGCGGUAGAGGGUAGUGGAAUUCCCGGUGUAGCAGUGAAAUGCGUAGAGAUCGGGAGGAACACCAGUGGCGAAGGCGGCUACCUGGACCAGCACUGACACUGAAGCACGAAAGCGUGGGGAGCGAACAGG
rnacentral:rRNA from 1 species